AAGGCAUGGUGUGGGCACUUUUUAAUAAAUUCCUUAAAUCCCUUUCAAGCUUCAUAUAUUGAUUCUACAUCUAGUUGAGAGAAUGAGGUGAUGCCUUUAAUAAGUUU